CUGAUAUGUCAAAGUGCUGUACAGAAACCCAGCCUAAAACCCCAAACAGCAAGCAAUGCAGGUGUAGAAGCACGGUGGCUAGGAAAAACUCCCUAGAAAGGCCAAAACCUAGGAAGAAACCUAGAGAGGAACCAGGCUAUGAGGGGUGGCCAGUCCUCUUCUGGCUGUGCCGCGUGGAGAUUAUAACAGCACAUGGCCAAGAUGUUCAAAUGUUCAUAAAUGACCAGCAUGGUCAAAUAAUAAUAAUCAUAGUAGUUGUCGAGGGUGCAACAUGUCAGUAACACAAGAGUAAGGGUCAGUUGGCUUUUUCAUAGCCGAUCUUUGAGAGUAUCUCUACCGCUCCUGCUGUCUCUAGAGAGUUGAAAACAGCAGGUCUGGGACAGGUAGCACGUCCGGUGAAUAGGUCAGGGUUCCAGCAGGUCUGGGACAGUUGGAACUGGAGCAGCAGCACGGCCAGGUGAACUGGGAACAGCAAGGAGUCAUCAAGCCAGGUAGUCCUGAGGCAUGGUCCUAGGGCUCAGGUCCUCCGAGAGAGAGAAAGAAAGAAAGAAAGAGAAAAUUAGAGAGAGCAUACUUAAAUUCACACAGGACACCGGAAAAGACAAGAGAAAUACUCCAGAUGUGACAGACUGACCCUAGCCCCCCGACACAUAAACUACUGCAGCAUAAAUACUGGAGGCUGAGACAGGAGGGGUCAGGAGACACUGUGGCCCUGUACCAGUCAAAAGUUUGGACACACCUACUCAUUCAAGGGUUCUUCUUUCUUUUUACUAUUUUCUAUAUUGUUUUUAUUUUUUACUAUUUUCUACAGAUAUGAAAUCAUGUAGUAACCCAAAAAGUGUUAAACACAUAUUUGAUAUUCUUCAAAGUAGCCACCCUGUGCCGUGAUGACAGCUUUGCACACUCUUGGCGCGUCAUGAUGUCAAGGAAAGAGGCACUGAGUUUGAAGGUAGGCCUUGAAAUACAACCACAGGUACACAUCCAAUUGACUCAAAUUAUGUCAAUUAGCCUAUCAGAAGCUUCUAAAGCCAUGACAUCCUUUUCUGGUAUUUUCCAAGCUGUUUAAAGGCACAGUCAACUUAGUGUAUGUAAACUUCUGACCCACUGGAAUUGUGAUACAGUGAGUUAUAAGUGAAAUAAUCUGUCUGUAAACAAUUGUUGGAAAAAUUACUUGUGUCAUGCACGAAGUAGAUGUCCUAACCGACUUGCCAAAACUAUAGUUUGUUAACAAGACAUUUGUGGAGUGGUUGAAAAACUAGUUUUAAUGACUCCAACUUAAGUGUAUGUAAACUUCCGACUUCAACUGUAUGUACAAUACAUGACAAUUUUGAGGUGCGCUUUGUUUGCAUUUUUGAGACUAAUCCAUAGGUUCUAUUGGACCAGGUAAACAAAUCAAGCAGAGCAUUGGUAUUUGAAAAUAUUCAACAGAAGGUCUGCCUUGAUUUUUUAUUCCUUUUUUGUGCAUCACCCCUCUCUCCCUCCUGUAUUUCGAUCCCUCCAUCCUCCUCUCCCUAGAUGGUUGGGAGCCGGCAGCACCUGCAGAAAGACUUCUUCCUCUACAAUACCUCCAAGGCCAGUGCAAAUCCUACAUUAAAAUCUGCACGAGGUGAGCGAGCGCUUCUGCCUGCCCCCCGAGGAGAACGUGAUCAUCCCUUCAACCUUCGACCCCCACGAGUAAGGAGAAGAACAGCACCUCAGAGUAACUGUGAGGGGAGGGAGAGUGGGGUUAGGGAGUAUAUCUAUGAAUUAGUGUGCGAGACAGUCUGUCUCUAGCUUUUUCCUUUAAUGAGUCAGACGAGAAAGAUAUACUGCUUUCCCGGGAACAGGCCCAGAUCCACGUAAUUUGCGUAAAGAAAAGACGAAGGAAAAGAGGACGCAGAUCAGGCUGCCUUUUGAGAAUCCGUAGGUGAGCGAG
rnacentral:lncRNA from 1 species